GUCACCGCGAGGUGGGGUGGGAAGGAAGCCGGAGGCAAACCUCUGCACCGAGGAACACGAAUCACAUGUGAGGCAUGUCUGCCGGGGUAAGCCAGCGCAAGAUGGUGAAGCCCGCUCCAUCGAAACGGCAGAUGUGUAUAUGUGGCGGGCGCAGGGAGAAAGUGAAUGCU
rfam:Arthrobacter arilaitensis RE117 chromosome, complete sequence.